rnacentral:rRNA from 12 species
CGGGUAAGUUCCGACCCGCACGAAUGGCGUAACGACUUGGGCACUGUCUCAACGGUGGACUCGGUGAAAUUGUAAUCGUGGUGAAAAUACCACGUACCCACGCCAGGACGAAAAGACCCCGUGAACCUUUACUGUAGGCUGGUAUUGGGUUCUAGUUGUUCAUGUGUAGCAUAGGUGGGAGACGUUGAAGCGAGGGCGCUAGCCCCCGUGGAGUCAUCGGUGAAAUACCACUCUUGUGCUUCUGGGAUCCUAACCGGGCUUCCGUGUAUCCGGACCCGGGACAGUGCUUGCUGGGCAGUUUGGCUGGGGCGGUCUCCUCCUAAAGAGUAACGGAGGAGCCCAAUAGGCACGUUCAGCGCGGUUGGCAAUCGCGCGUCGAGUGUAAAGGCAUAAGCGUGCUAGACUGCGAGACCUAUAAGUCGAGCAGGUGUGAAAGCAGGGCUUAGUGAUCCUGCGGCUCCGUGUGGAAGGGCCGUAGCUCAUCAGACAAAAGGUACUCCGGGGAUAACAGGCUGAUCUCCCCC